ensembl:lncRNA
GGAAGUGAAAUGUCAAUACAAGCGCAGGCAGCUGUUCUAGCGCGGCGACAGUCUGAUCAGAGACACAAACGCCGUGUGUCCGAUAUCUCGACGUGUUCCCCUUUCCUUACCGAGCAGCUGUGGCUCUCCGUGCUCCCUCCGUGAUGUCGACAGGUGGCUGCAGAGAUAGCCGCCCCCAUGCAUCCAUUGCCGUCUCUCCCCCUUUUGCUUUACAAAUGCAGCUGAGCGGUCAUCGUCGACUCCGCCGUAACCAAACUGAAAACGGGACCCGUCAGGCUGCAGACGAGCUGCAGUGAAGCGCGAAGCGGCAAAGUGACUCGCUCAUCAUGUCUGUUUCACUCAUGCAAAAAAAACAAAACGCUGCUGACCACAGGAUCAGGAACUAAGACCGGUUAAUAUAGCUCUUAAAGUUACAGUCUCACCCUGUUCACCUUGAUAGGACUGACCUGGAACAAACACACAGAUGAAUCACUAAGUGUCCUCUUUCAUGUUUAUUUGCCCUUUCGGAUCCCAUGAACGGCAUCAUCAGAGAUCGGCUGGCUCUUUGCUGAAGCUGGAGGACGUCACACGGGCAGGACUAUUAAAACCCAAGCCUCCACGUCCAUCAAAAGGACAAGUCCUGACCGCGUAAGGCGGUUGUGUUCAAUUCCUUCAUCAAGCCCUUUUAAAACUUUAAUGAUCAAUCGAGAGUCUGAACUAAAAAAAGGCUGCAGCAGGACGGACAAUGAGAGCGCGGGCAGACAGGUGGACAGGUGGACAGGUGGACAGGUCGACAGGUGGACAGGCUGGUUUUCUGCCCAAACGUUUCCCACGUCUUCCCUUCCCAGGCCUGCGUUUCAGUCUCUCUUCCCCUCGGCGUCGUAUUGUUGGCUCUCUUGCAGCCGGCGGCUCACAGAGACCCGUCCCCCCGAUGAAGUUCUAAUAGCCCGUCGGCUCCACUUGUCCGCCUCUAUAAAUAGCGAUGAAUCCAUUUUGUUGGGGUGCAAGUUGUCAGCACCUCAAUCUCAUCCAUUCACUGACGGCUGCAUUUCACAAGCAGCAGUCGUCACGAUGGCGCUUAGGAGACUAUGAACUUAAUUAUCACAGCGCAGUGUUGCCAAAGUUAGAAGUAAUUAAACACGUUUACCUUCAGCUUGAUAUUGAAUAAAGGGAUGUUUUACAGGGAAGGAGAGGGAUUUGGAAUUAUACUGGUGAUUAAACUGUUGUUUAUUAUUAGAAAUGCGGACUGAAACAGUUGUAGUUGAGGUCGUGAUGUGAGCUUUAGUGUGUGUGUGUGUGUGUGUGUGUGUGUGUGCUGGUAAUGAAUAAAACAGCACAGUGGGGCAUUGUGAGCUGCAUGUUGAGAGCACUAACAGGAGGGAAUGUUGCUCCUCAUAAUGUCAGCACAUCAGAUGGGGGUGAGGGAGGGAGGGACGGAGGGAG